ensembl:lncRNA
GUUGGCUGUCCCAGCUGCUCCCAGUGGGUCAGAAGCAGGAGCUCACAGCGAUGUGCCAUCCAGCUCCGAUAUGCACCGCCAAACAUGACCUCCCCUGGCAGAGGCUCCCUUGCUCCCUUGGCUGGGAUGAAGUGCUGUGGCCGCAGGCAUAUGGGGCACACUGAGACAAACUGAGCAGCUUUUUAAGAAUGUCCUGAGACCCUUGGCAAUGGAGAGAGAUUGCAGUGCAAGCACUUUUCUGGAUUACUCUGUCACCGAUGUCAAAUCAAAGCAUCAAGGAUAUAAAUCUUCAGUAAACAUCUGGCCUCACUUCAGCCAGGUUAUGCAAUGCCUCAAGUACAUUCAGCAGCAGAUUAUGCUGCGUUCUCCAUUUGUGCAAUGCAAGCUAAUGUGAAUAUCAAGUCACAUCAGUGGUCUAGACAAGUAGUUGGGAGAUAAAGACAGCAACCCAAAGCGGGAAGUUUGGCCUCUCAGGGCACGUCAAGGGAAAACUGACAUGUCACUGAAGACCCAGAAAGAAAGAAUGCCAGAGAAGAGGUAAAUCAUAGAAAAGCCUAAGCAUCACCUCUGCUCAGAUGUGAAAGCCAUCGAGGUCUGCAACAUCUCGAGAAACAUCCUGCGGCUCUUACACCAUGGGAAGAUGUCCUUUUGAAGUGCAAGUGAAUCCCUGUGUAUGUAUUAACAUCACAGGAUGGAGCAGAAAAGUAUAACAGGGAGCUGAGGUCCUGAUGGAUUUCAGUGUGUCUGCAGCCCAGGGCUCCCUCCUCUUGUCUGUUCUGGAGCGCGGUGUCUCUCUCCUUCACCCCCCUUGUGCAGACGCACAUCAGUGGCUGAUACAACAACCGUGUUGAAGAACAGCAACUUCCAUUCUCUUGGUUGGUUGGGAGCGCUGAAGAGGAACUCGAGCAGCCUCAGAGAUGACACACGUUGGGCUUCCAUCUCCGCAGCCAUGCAGCUGUGUCACCACCGUUGCUGUGCAGCCAGCAGGGACAGGACACGGUGUGGCUGACAGCCCUGGGGAUGAGGACAUCCAGUUCUGAGGGACUUGCGGUCUGCUGGUAAGCAAACACAGUAAGUGAACACUUCUGGCAUUUCUUUCUUUCAUCAUCUUUUUCAGUGAUAGUGCUAUUCUGAGUUAUGACAGUGUUUUCUCUCCAUUUGACCAGCUGUCUGGCAGUGCUCAGUGGUGUCCUUCUGAAAAACCUUGUGUGCAAUUACAUGGCUCACAGCUACACACAGGUAGAGCCGGGUGAACACCAUUUCUCAUCUAUGUAUUCCAAGAGCAUCAAUGGUGCCCAUCCUCACUGUAUGCCUCCAGCAUGGGAGGGAGAGGAUUAAUUAAAUGGACCUCAGAACGCUGCCUCUGCUUGCCACCCUUCGUAUGUCUGAACUGGAGCCCAUCAGUCAGCCUCUGUUGGUGCCGCUGGAACACCAGGGCAGUGCUCGGGACAUCAGACAAACCUGUGGGAGGGGAAGACAGUUACAGUUUGAUUUUUUGGAUGCUUGAGGUGAAGAAACAGGCUCUGCCCAUGCAGUCACAGAUGGUAAGGCUGUAGGGUUUUAAAAUACACACAAAAUCAGUAUUCUGUCCUCUCUGAGGCGAGUGUGUCAGCAGCGUGUAGGAAACGUGACUGGGAACUCUAGGAUGUCACUGCAUACUUUUAAGAGCCUUCUGGUAAGAAGUUGCCAAAAGCAUAUGGUCUCUAUUAAUAAGGAUAUUUAGCAUUUUUCUUCCUAAUUUAUUCACAAGUAAUUAUUUGCUUACCUAGCUUGAAGUGGGCUGGAAUCCAGCUCUUAUCUGUUGUGGAAAGCUGUCACACUUCCCUCUGCCUUUCUCCAGCCCUCACUUGAGAGCAGCUAUGCGUCUGGCCAAGCAAAGCUGCCCUGCUCCUUCUCUCUUCUAAUAACUCAGAGUCUUGCCUGGCCAUUACAAACUUUAGUUUCUAAAAGCAGUGUGAAAAGUACUUUUCAAAGUACUGUGACAGUAAGAAAUAGAUUCAGCUGCUCCUCCCGUUGGCUGCCUGCUCCCUGCCAGGACAGCUGGCUCUUUCCAGGUCUGUGCCCACAUCACUGCAGUGCCAGAACAUCACCUAACCAACACUUCAGACUCCGUUUUGUCCCACCUCUUCUGUUGCUGCGUUCAAAUGUUAAAGAAAAUAUAAAGGAAAAAAAACACCUCCCUCAGAAGUUCUCAUCAAAGGUUUACUGGUCAGAGCCCAGGCUCUGUCUCAAAACUCUGCUGCUGUUCUUUCUAUGCGUAUCCUUCUUUCACUGCUCCCUGCAGUAAUCAGAAUCCCAAAUGCCUUCUUUCUGAUGAGGAUUAAGCCAUGACCUGCACAUGAUUGCAGGAAAUAAGCCUUUAAAAUAUGCCCAAAUGCACUGCUUGUUUGAAGUCACUGAUCCUUAAAAUAGAUGUCUGAAAAAAUGUGUAAUUUCAAAUACUUCUGCAGAUACUGUUCCAGUAUGUGUAACAAGGGGUCGCAUCGAGCCAACUUACAUCAGUUGUGCUCCAUUAUAUCACGAACUGAGCAAAUGGAUCCAAAUAUACAGUAAUACUUCAGCUGCUAAUGAAAGCCUUGUACAGUUCCUUUCUCUAGAUACCUCUAGCGAGAUGGUGAGAAAAUACCUGAUUUUUUUUUUUUUUCUUUUCUUUUUCAGGGACCUUAUGAGAUAUUGGUCAUGAAGUGCCAUCAUGGAAGAAGCUCAAGCUUCAGGAAUUCUAAGGUACUCACUGUCAUUUAUAGGUCCUGUUCCUCUCGCUGGUGAAUCCCUUUUGCUAUCAUUUGAUACAUGGAUAGUAGUAGAACAGUAUUGUUCCCUCCUCAGUCUCAAGGCAAAACAUAACUUGGUCCUACUUAAUAUUAAUUUAAUGUUAACAAAAUCGAGAUAAGUUCAGAAGUUUCACCUUGACUGAGGUUCUCAGCUCUCAUGCUUGUGUGCAUACAAACUGCUGAGAAAAACAUUUCAGGCUUUUCCACAGCGAUGAUCAAAGAAAAAUCACAAAUGCAGUGGACUUCAAAGCAAAGGGGCAGUGGCCCAGCCUUCACUCAGUCAGUGUGCACAAAAUGGAAGGGCCCAUUACCUGUAGAUGGGAGAGGAGCAGAGCUAAGCCGCAGGUAGGUUUGUAUUUGAUAUCAUCUACUGACAGUGACGGGUCACAGCCUUGCCACAGCUGAAGGCUGUUGAGGGCCACCACAGAGCCUCCCAGCAGCAGUUCAGAUGCUGCAUGCUAUUUAUUUGCAUGCAAUUGGAAUCCACCCUACUAGCGUGCAUCGCUGACAGAUAGGAGGAAAGGAUUCACUGCAAGCACUGAGCCAGCACCGACAAGCCGGGAGGUGAAAACUCAGGAGCUUCACUGAAGGCAGCUGAAGCCUCCACUGCUGCACAUUGUGGUGCCUGCAGAGUCACAGAGAAAUAAAUCUUGGUUAAAUUUUUGAUGAGCUUUCAGCUGCUGUAAAUAAUUAACUAGGGCCUCUCUUGUUUGAACACGGGUGCAACUUUUCAUGUUUCAAACGCUUCCUGCCUCAGUCCCAGGGGAUUGCUCAAGUAAUUCAGGUCAUUCUUUCUUUUAUUUAUUUGCAGCAUCACCGGUCCAAACAAAUUUUGAACUUUCAAGCUGGGAAGGGAGAAAGCAUUUUCUUUUUGAUUUUACUCCAGGUAAAUCCCCAAGGGAGCACGUGUCUCAUUUGCAGUAGUUGAAUAAUAGAGAUUGAUGGGUUAAUCAGUUCCCAUACCAUUUAUGGAGUAAUGCUGUGCGCUCAUAGAUGAAGUUUUCAUGUUUCUCAAGUCUGUGCUGUUUCAAAGAUGAGAGCACAGGACAGCUUCAUACAGACAGAUGCACUAAGGAGAGCAUCCCUGUGUGUCCCCCCCAGCUAAAGCACAUCGGGCUGAUCCUGCUUUUGACAGUGCAAGUACUGAAGUCAGUCCUGCACCACCACCAGGUAAGCAGCACAAAAAAUGAGGUCUGAAGAACAAUCGAUCUGUCCCUUCAUUAGGUGUCAAAAAGAGCUUGGAUAUUGUUUUAGGUGGAAACUCAUGCAUAGCUGAAGUGGGUGUAAACUGUAUUAAAUAUUGGAUUCAAACUCCAGAUUAGGGGUUUUGAUGUCCUAUCCCAAGACUUUAAUGUCUAAAUUGAACUACUAAAAUAGCUCCUUCCUCAGGACUCCAUCCUGUCCCGCUUAGUUCUAUACCCACACACAACAGGUCACCUACCACUACUGUGGUCUGAGGCUGAUUUGGAUUUACUGCAGUGUCAUACUUCCUGUUUCAAUGCCUAUUGAGUAUGAUUUAUUACAAUGACAGACCACACUACUGUUUGCAAUGCAGGCCUAAUUCAUUCCCACUUUUUAAUACAGUUUCUCACAUCAUCUCCAGCAUUUGAGAGAAUGUAUAUUUAUUUUAAUCACCGUGUACUGAAUAUGUAAUUUUUUUCCUAGGUAAAAUUUCCCUUUAAUAGAGGCUGGGUUAUGAGAGAGCAAUUAUUUGAGUUAUGUGCACAUUACAGAAUAAUUUAACAUCAGCUUUUGGGUCAAUCUUUUUUAAUUAUCUAUUUUAUCAACUGGUUUUGACUAGCAGUUUAAAUAAUUGUGUUUGCCUAAUAUCUGGAAAUGUAAUUGCUUUUGGACAUCCUUUAUUCCAAUCCUGGUGUUGUUACCGUCUUGCAUACGGUGCAUGUUGGCACCUGUCUGUGCAGUGACAGAUUUGUGGUGACAGCUUAUAUAACUUAUUUAUAAAAUGAUGAAUUAUUUUUGAAUUUAACUUCAAGUUCACAGACUGGAAAAGUGGAGAAACACCUGCUUGCUGCAGAGGAUCUGCUAAGGAAGUCCAAAGGGAAACUAUGCACAGAGGGGAAGAGCAGAUGCCAAGUGAAACAGAACCAUGUGGGUCAUCGUUAUGCUGUUCCAGGAUAACCAGAAGUUCACCUUGUGAACUCUUCACAAACUGUCUGGCAGCUGAUUUUGCUCACCUGUGCAGUCGAUGUUAAUCACAGAAUCAAACAAAGAUACACCUCUCAGCACACGCCAUGGGAAGCUCUGCAG